rnacentral:misc_RNA from 1 species
AAAGUCGUAACAAGGUUUCCGUAGGUGAACCUGCGGAAGGAUCAUUUAUGAGUUUGAACAGGACUUGAUGCUGGCUAUAUGCUUGUGCUCAGUUCUACUCAAUCCAUUAUACACCUGUGCACUUUCAAAGUUGUAGUCCUCCGUCAUGGGAGCCGUACCUUGUCAUGAGGUACUGGGACUAUAUGCUUUGCCCUUUAUUACAAACUUUAUUAUUGUCUUGUAGAAUGUUAAUAGCCUAAGGGCUUAACUUAAUACAACUUUCAACAACGGAUCUCUUGGCUCUC